CCGGCAAGUGAAGACAUGAAAGAUGUUGCAAAAUGAGGUAACUUUUACUUUGUUGUUUCAGAAUUUUAAUAGUGAAAAGAUGAGAUAGAUGUUCAUUCUUUCAUGUUUAAAGUUUAAUGAACAAGCUUUGCUUCUGUGACAUAUGUACCUCUAUUAGUCCAUAAGUUUCCUUACCUAAAACAUGAUGACAUUGUCGAGUUAAAGUUUACAUAACUAGAGUUAUAGAGUUCCACACAUUCCAUGACAAUGGUUAUAAUUUUUCAAUAAUAGGAUCUUAUGGUGGCUGAUGGAUGCUAUUUCUAAGAGAGUUUCUGUAUUGCAAAGUUUUCUUUUGCAUCAGUAUAGUAUAUCAAAAUGAGGUUUUAAAAAGAAAAUGAAUUGAAGCUCUAUUUAUCCGUUUUCAUACUGAGUUUCUUUUAGGUUUACUAAUAUGUUACUCUUUUGGGAUGUGUUCCAUUUGCCAAUAGUUGAUGUAAAGAGGUAGAACUGGUUCCUUAUAAUGUUAAAACAAGACUUUUUACCGUGCCUUCUAAUGAAUUAUACUCAAGGAACUAGCUUCACAUUCAAUGUUACUUAGAUUGAGGUGUCUAAAAUUAUGUUAUAAAGGCUGCACUUUCCUCAUAUGUGUGUAGUUUAUUAUACUUAAAAUGUCUUGCAUAAGAUGAGUUUAAAUGGAGAAACAUGAUCUAAGAGGGUUCAUAUAACCGGACCCCAAAUUGUUUGGAACUAAGAUGCAAUAGUAUUUGUUGUAGUAUCGUACUUAAACUAACCAUCUCUAUCAAUUUCCUUAUGUAUCGAAGUGUAGAAGACAUAAGAUACAUGGAGUGACAAUCUCAGUCUGCAUUGAUUAACUCUUAAUUUUUCUGGAAUAGUUCUUAAGGAAGUGGAGAUACAUUUAUCCCUAGUAGUAUUGUUGAGAUUCGUCCUACUGAACUUUCUAGUUUCAGAAAAAUCAUAUGGGUUUAUAUCUAUUGAACUAGAACUAUUCUCUCGACAACUCAAUGGUUAAUGUGUGUGGAACUUUCCCACCUUGCUUUAAAGUAAUGUUGUUUCUUUACUAAUAUUUAAUAGCUUAUUGUUGGAGCUUCAAAUCUAUCUCUUAGAAAGAAGGAUCAAACACGGUGAAUUUGAUCAUUUAAACUACACAAUUUUGUGAUGAAUUAAUCAAUGGUGAGAGAAAAAGUGAUGAGCCAGGAGAAGUUGUGUGUAUGGGAAAGAAGAGUCGUGAAGAACAAUAUUUUAACAUUUUGGAGUGUCAAAUUAGC
rnacentral:lncRNA from 1 species